AAAGUCGUAACAAGGUUUCCGUAGGUGAACCUGCGGAAGGAUCAUUAUUGAAUGAACUUGGUGUGGUUGUUGCUGGCCCUUUUGGGGGCAUGUGCACACCCACCAUCCUCAUCUCUCCACCUGUGCACCUCUUGUAGACCUGGGAUAGAUUUUCCGAGGCAACUCGGUCUGGAGGAAUGCUGCCCUAAGCUUUCUUUGUAUUUCCUGGUCUAUGUUUUUCAUAUACCCGAUAGCAUGUAACAGAAUGUAUCAUUUGGGCGCUUGUGCCCUAUAAACCUUAUACAACUUUCAGCAACGGAUCUCUUGGCUCUC
rnacentral:misc_RNA from 1 species